AGGGACAAGCGGCCCCGAUCCCCCCCCUUCCCCCUACCCCUCAGAAGCAUUUUCCCUGCACAGCAAUGAGGAGUGGGAGACGGCCCAGGAGGAGGAUACGACCGACCAGGCAUGCAGUGACCAGCUGCGGUCGUCAAGGGACCAAAGACAGAAGCAAAAGAAAAAGAAAAGGCCUAGACAGGCAAGAAGCCAGCCAGAGGAUCAGUCGGAGGAGGAAGCCUCUGGUGAAGACGCAGGACAGAAGUAGCCGCGUGGACCCAGAUACACUGAGGCGUAAAACUGUGCCCUAGUGGAUGGCGUCGACAAGUCCUACGACGUUCUGUAUGGACCAAGGGCACAGACCACAGCAGCUAAGACCAAGCGAAACAUCUGGGAUGCCAUCGCGAGACAAGUCACUGCAGUAUCUGUAAACCGCCGGAGCACCAGAAACUGCAUGAAGCGGUACAGUGAUUGCCGCAGACAGACCAAGAAGAAGAUGGGGAUUCAGCGCCGACAUGAGACAGCUACGGGAGGUGGUCCGGCUCUCAAUCUGAAGUGGCUACUCUGGGAGAACGUUAUUAAAAGGUGCAUGAACCCUGUCAUCGUCCAAGGAGUUCGCGGAGGUGUGGACUCUAGCCGUCCUGCUGGCUUUCCCGAGGAGGAAGAACCGCCCAGAAGACGGAAGACGGCGGGAGACAAGCAGUCCAAAAGGAGGCCUGAUGACACGCCUGCCCAGAGGACAUCACCAGCGCGCGGACCAUCACCUGCGCAGCAGGCAUCGGCAGCAGCGCGCGGACCAUCACAUGCGCAGCAAGCAUCAGCAGCGCUCAGAUCAUCACCUGCGCGCCACACAUCGUCGGCGCGCAGGUGACUUUGACAUCCUUCACGUUCUGGCCACAUCCAUCAACCGGCUGGUGGAUAACACAUCAUGCCUGGUACACAGCGUUGACAACAUGUCGGCCAGCCAUGGACAUUCCGCAUCCAGCCAACAGAUCAUCGCAACAACGCUACAGAUGAUCUAUGAUAAGCUCCCAGAGCCAGCUCAACAACACGCUGGUGAACCACCACAUCCACCACCACAAGCCACACUGACGCCUCCUGCCCUUGCUACACCACGAUCCUGGUAUGGACGGUCACAGCUGUACCAAGGAUAUACAGGGAUGUACCACCCCUACCAGAUGCCUCCACCACCGGCCGCCACGUCUACACCAGCAUGGCCACCGAGGCCAAUUCAACACACCCCACAGCCGCCCAGGGCAUCGACGCCAAAUUAAAAGAGGAAGAAGAGGAUCCGGAUGGCCAACAACCACCAUAAGCCCGGUCGUAUUGUUUUAUUAUUUACUCAUGUUUUUCAUGUUUCCCUUUCUCCUCCUCCCAUUAGUUUGUUUUUUUUCUUAAUAUUGUCUUAUAUGUCUGUUGGGCUCCCCCACCCCCGACCGAAUACUACCAAGGAGCUUUAUGUCUAGGCAUACAUGCACGGGCAUGUAUGCGGGCGCGUGUGGUAACUGAUGAAAGCUCCUUGUGGUUACAUGUAUGAUGGGCCAAAGAGCUAUUCUGAUACCACUUUUUAAAAAACAACAACUCCUUUUUGUAUUGGUGUAAAAUAGGCUUUCACUGUUGUGUGAAUUUACUAUUCACUAGUGUUUAUUUUUGGCUUCUUCAUAGGAUUGGGUGGAAAAUUGAAGUGGACGGCGUAGUUCGUGUUGUGCAU